AAUACUUUGACUAAACUUGCAGAACAAUGUGCAAGAUUGCCUCUUGCUUUAAUCAUUGUAGGGAGCGUACUACGCGAUGGUAUUCUGAGCCCAAGUGAAAUGUUGGACCUCAUGAAGGAAGAGCGGCUGAAAGCUCUCAGUGACGAUAGUUUCUCUGACUCUGAGAUAAUAGAUAAAGUGAUAAGAAAUCACCUUGCCCGACUGACGGAAGUUUUCAGACAGCAC